rnacentral:rRNA from 1 species
AACGAACGCUGGCGGCAUGCCUAACACAUGCAAGUCGAACGAGACCUUCGGGUCUAGUGGCGCACGGGUGCGUAACGCGUGGGGACCUGCCCUUAGGUUCGGAAUAACUCCCCGAAAGGGGUGCUAAUACCGGAUAAUGUCUUCGGACCAAAGAUUUAUCGCCUUUGGAUGGGCCCGCGUUGGAUUAGCUAGUUGGUAGGGUAAAAGCCUACCAAGGCGACGAUCCAUAGCUGGUCUGAGAGGAUGAUCUGCCACACUGGGACUGAGACACGGCCCAGACUCCUACGGGAGGCAGCAGUGGGGAAUAUUGGACAAUGGGCGAAAGCCUGAUCCAGCAAUGCCGCGUGAGUGAUGAAGGCCUUAGGGUUGUAAAGCUCUUUUACCCGGGAUGAUAAUGACAGUACCGGGAGAAUAAGCUCCGGCUAACUCCGUG